rnacentral:ncRNA from 1 species
UCUGUGGAUCGUUACAUCAAAUGAAAGUAGUUAGUAACAUUGAGUAAACGUUACAACAAAAUCAGACGGGAUGAAGCAGAAA